rnacentral:rRNA from 1 species
GUAGGUGGCAAGCGUUGUCCGGAAUUAUUGGGCGUAAAGCGCGCGCAGGCGGUCCUUUAAGUCUGAUGUGAAAGCCCACGGCUCAACCGUGGAGGGUCAUUGGAAACUGGGGGACUUGAGUACAGAAGAGGAAAGCGGAAUUCCAAGUGUAGCGGUGAAAUGCGUAGAGAUUUGGAGGAACACCAGAGGCGAAGGCGGCUUUCUGGUCUGUAACUGACGCUGAGGCGCGAAAGCGUGGGGAGCAAACAGGGAUUAGAUACCCUGGUAGUCCACGCCGUAAACGAUGAGUGCUAAGUGUUAGGGGGUUUCCCGCCCCUUAGUGCUGCAGCUAACGCAUUAAGCACUCCGCCUGGGGAGUACGGCCGCAAGGCUG